rnacentral:miRNA from 1 species
ACCCGAAGCCUCCGGAGCGCAGCGGGAGUUCCCGCUGGGCUCCGGAGGCUUCGGGU